rnacentral:rRNA from 1 species
AGGACGAACGCUGGCGGCGUGCUUAACACAUGCAAGUCGAGCGGAAAGGCCCUUCGGGGUACUCGAGCGGCGAACGGGUGAGUAACACGUGAGUAAUCUGCCCCUAGCUCUGGGAUAGCUCCGGGAAACCGGGAUUAAUACCGGAUACGACCACUUUAGACAUCUGUUGUGGUGGAAAGAAUUUUGGCUAGGGAUGAGCUCGCGGCCUAUCAGCUUGUUGGUGGGGUAACGGCCUACCAAGGCGACGACGGGUAGCCGGCCUGAGAGGGCGACCGGCCACACUGGGACUGAGACACGGCCCAGACUCCUACGGGAGGCAGCAGUGGGGAAUAUUGCGCAAUGGGCGAAAGCCUGACGCAGCGACGCCGCGUGGGGGAUGAAGGCCUUCGGGUUGUAAACCCCUUUCAGCAGGGACGAAGCGAAGUGACGGUACCUGCAGAAGAAGCGCCGGCUAACUACGCGCCAGCAGCCGC